AGGAGUGUAGCUCAGUUGGUAGAGCAUCGGUCUCCAAAACCGAGGGCCGGGGGUUCGAGUCCCUCCACUCCUGCCA
rnacentral:tRNA from 40 species